rnacentral:tRNA from 1 species
GUUGGGGUGCAGACCGGCCUAAGAUAAGGGGGAGGACUUAAGAUCCUCUGGCGUAGGCCUUCGUGGGUUCAAAUCCCACCCCCCGCACCA